CUGGGAACAACCUGAACACUUUUGUUAAUAUUGAACUAUAUAAUGUUAUGAGUUCAAUAUUAACAAAAGUGUUCAGGUUGUUCCCAG
rnacentral:miRNA from 1 species